AUUGAACGCUGGCGGCAUGCCUUACACAUGCAAGUCGAACGGCAGCACGGGGGCAACCCUGGUGGCGAGUGGCGAACGGGUGAGUAACAUAUCGGAACGUGCCCUGGAGUGGGGGAUAACUAGUCGAAAGACUAGCUAAUACCGCAUACGAUCUAUGGAUGAAAGUGGGGGAUCGCAAGACCUCAUGCUCGUGGAGCGGCCGAUAUCUGAUUAGCAGUUGGUGGGUAAGGCCUACCAAGGCAUCGAUCAGUAGCUGGUCUGAGAGGACGACCAGCCUCACUGGGACUGAGACACGGCCCAGACUCCUACGGGAGGCAGCAGUGGGGAAUAUUGCGCAAUGGGCGAAAGCCUGACGCA
rnacentral:rRNA from 1 species